rnacentral:rRNA from 1 species
UACGUAGGUGGCAAGCGUUGUCCGGAUUUACUGGGCGUAAAGGAUGCGUAGGUGGAUAUGCAAGUCAGAUGUGAAAUACCCGGGCUUAACUCGGGUGCUGCAUUUGAAACUAUAUAUCUAGAGUGCAGGAGAGGUAAGUGGAAUUCCUAGUGUAGCGGUGAAAUGCGUAGAUAUUAGGAGGAACACCAGUGGCGAAGGCGACUUUCUGGACUGUAACUGACGCUGAGGCAUGAAAGCGUGGGGAGCAAACAGG